rnacentral:tRNA from 1 species
GCUGGCUGGCUCAGUCAGUAGAGCAUGCGACUCUUGAUCUCAGGGUCGUGGGUUCAAGCCCCAUGCUGGGCA